AUGACGUCUCAUCCUGCUCCUAGCCGGCGACGGUGGAUCAACGCCUAUUCUAAUUUAACCUAUUCUAAUUUAAUCCUCCUCUCUUCUUCUUGUAGGGCAACCUGUUCUUCUCGAUGGUGCUCCAGCAACUGCAUAAUUCAGGCUGGAGGUGAUGGAGGGCACUGUACAAGAGGACAUGUGUAUGGGAACAACAAUACACCAGGUAAUGUUGUUGGCGAUGGUCAAUUGAUUUGAGCAUAUUUGGAGACUGGUAGGCGCGCGGCUGUACUGCCCGAGUCACCACCUGAGAGAGGAUCCCAGAGGAGAUGGGCAGAUGCUCCAGAGGAUUUUGUACAUAGAGCAACUUCCUCUUCAUCUAGCUGAUCUUUUCUCGAAAACUUGAGCGACUGGACUUAUGCACUUGUCCCUUAGAGUCAAUGGCCAUAGCCUCUUGCGUAUUCAGGCCCACUCUUCUUUCACCCAAUAUGUCUAUUUCCAAAUAUUCACGCCCUUGGUUCUCUCCCAUCUGACCUGUGACUAAAACUAAAAUUAAUAUGUGCAACUAACAAUGAGGCAUCUCAUGAGAA